rnacentral:tRNA from 1 species
GCUCGAGUGGUGAAAUCGGUAGACACACGAGACUUAAAAUCUCGCGCCCGGUUACGGGUGUACCAGUUCAAGUCUGGUCUCGAGCA